UAUAACAUGAGAAAUAGCUUGUAUGCAAUAGAAUUGAGAGGGAGAAAAUGAUGAGAAAGUUGAGAUUCUGUUGCGAAGGGGUUGACAUAGUAAAACUUGCGGCUGUAGAGCAAAACGAGAAAAAAGUUACUAUUCAACACAAACCAGAGCCAUGGGGCAAAGGCAAUAAUGAUGCAACUGUGAUUCCUCCAAAGAGAAAGUGUGUGAAGAAUACGGUAUGCAAUUGUUUUGUUCAAUGCAUCUGUGCUAAGUGCUUGAAUACCAAUACUCUUUCACCUCCAACACCGACAAUAACAUCAGCCAACUAUAGAAUCAAAACAAAGGGUGUCAAAUAAUCAAAAAGUUUGCAGGUUGCCAUGAUGAAGAUGAGGAAUCAAGAUCGUUUAUAUACUUGGUUGAUGCUUUGAAUAAGGAACAAAAUGUAAAGGGUGAUUGAAACCGUCGUAACUUUGUACUGUAAUUUCAUUACUGGAAAUUUAUUUGUUUUAUCCCCUAUUUAAAUUUAAAUAACAUAGAGUUACUUUGGUCAAA